GUCUACGGCCAUACCACCCUGAACGCGCCCGAUCUCGUCUGAUCUCGGAAGCUAAGCAGGGUCGGGCCUGGUUAGUACUUGGAGGGGGAGAAGUCCCAGAAAACCUUUAAUG
rnacentral:rRNA from 1 species